AUCUUCUGGUGGGAGCCUUGUUCAUAGGCAGCCUGCAUGGCAGGAGCGAUGAGGAAACUGAAUCAUAAAGACAUUAUGUGAAAAUAUGUUCAAGUGCUUGGAACAGAAGCUGGUGUCACAGACUUGUCUCAAUAAAUAUGUAGCUCUAUACAAAACCGAAAAUAAUAAAUAGAAACUUUCAUCCUG